UAGAGAAAAUGGCAAACUUAUCGAAAGGUAAGGACGCAAAACCACGGGUCUAAAGUAUUGAUUUUAAUGCGAUGAUAGCCGGGUUACCUCA
rnacentral:ncRNA from 1 species